rnacentral:rRNA from 1 species
UACGUAGGGGGCAAGCGUUGUCCGGAUUUAUUGGGCGUAAAGAGCGUGUAGGCGGUUUGGUAGGUCCGCUGUGAAAACUCGAGCUCAACCUCGAGACGCCGGUGGAAACCAUCAGACUAGAGUCCGGAAGAGGAGAGUGGAAUUCCGUGGUGUAGCGGUGAAAUGCGCAGAUAUCAGGAAGAACACCCGUGGCUAAGGCGGCUCUCUAGUACGGUACUGACGCUGAGACGCGAAAGCGUGGGGAGCGAACAGG